rnacentral:rRNA from 1 species
AGAAUCAACGCUGGCGGCGUGCCUAACACAUGCAAGUCGAACGCGAAAGUCCCGAAAGGGGCAAGUAGAGUGGCAAACGGGUGAGUAACACGUGGGUGACCUGCCUUCGAGCGGGGGAUAACGUCCCGAAAGGGACGCUAAUACCGCAUAACAUCCUGCCUUUGAAGAGGUGGAGAUCAAAGCUGGGGAUCGCAAGACCCGGCACUUGAAGAGGGGCCCGCGUCUGAUUAGCUAGUUGGUGGGGUAACGCCUACCAAGGCAACGAUCAGUA